rnacentral:rRNA from 1 species
UGCCAGCAGCCGCGGUAAUACGGAGGGGGUUAGCGUUGCUCGGAAUUACUGGGCGUAAAGCGCACGUAGGCGGACUGGAAAGUUGGGGGUGAAAUCCCAGGGCUCAACCCUGGAACUGCCUCCAAAACUAUCAGUCUAGAGUUCGAGAGAGGUGAGUGGAAUUCCGAGUGUAGAGGUGAAAUGCGUAGAUAUCUGGAGGAACGCCGGUGGCGAAAGCGACUCACUGGCUCGCAACUGACGCUGAGGCGCGAAAGCGAGGGGAGCGAACGGGAUUAGAUA